GGAUGUGAGGGCGAUCUGGCUGCAACAUCUGUCACCCCAUUGAUCUCAAGGGUUGAUUGGCUGAUCUGGCUGGCCAGGCGGGUGUCCCCUUCCUCCCUCACCGCUCCAUGUGCGUCCCUCCCGAAGCUGCGCGCUCGGUGGAAGAAGACAACCUUCCCCGAUAGAGGAGGACUGUUCUUCUGUCAAGGGUGUAUGAGUAGCUGCGCUCCCAUGCGAGAACCUCCAAACAAGCUCUCAAAACCACAGUGAGAUAUCACCUAACCUCAGAGAGAAUGGCUUUUAUCAAAAAGUCCCAAAACAACAAAUGCUGGUUU
rnacentral:snRNA from 1 species